rnacentral:rRNA from 1 species
GUAACCUGCCCAGAAGCAGGGGAUAACACCUGGAAACAGAUGCUAAUACCGUAUAACAGAGAAAACCGCCUGGUUUUCUUUUAAAAGAUGGCUCUGCUAUCACUUCUGGAUGGACCCGCGGCGCAUUAGCUAGUUGGUGAGGUAACGGCUCACCAAGGCGAUGAUGCGUAGCCGACCUGAGAGGGUGAUCGGCCACACUGGAACUGAGACACGGUCCAG